UACGUAGGGUGCGAGCGUUAAUCGGAAUUACUGGGCGUAAAGCGUGCGCAGGCGGUGAUGUAAGACAGAUGUGAAAUCCCCGGGCUCAACCUGGGAACUGCACUUGUGACUGCAUCGCUGGAGUGCGGCAGAGGGGGAUGGAAUUCCGCGUGUAGCAGUGAAAUGCGUAGAUAUGCGGAGGAACACCGAUGGCGAAGGCAAUCCCCUGGGCCUGCACUGACGCUCAUGCACGAAAGCGUGGGGAGCAAACAGG
rnacentral:rRNA from 1 species